GAGUUUGAUCCUGGUUCAGGACGAACGCUGGCGGCGUGCCUAACACAUGCAAGUCGAGCGAAGAAGCCCCUUCGGGGGUGGAUUAGCGGCGGACGGGUGAGUAACACGUGGGUAACCUGCCUCAAAGAGGGGGAUAGCCUCCCGAAAGGGAGAUUAAUACCGCAUAAGACCUAGGUUCACAUGAACCCGGGAUGAAAGGAGUAAUCCGCUUUGAGAUGGACCCGCGGCGCAUUAGUUAGUUGGUGGGGUAACGGCCUACCAAGGCAGCGAUGCGUAGCCGACCUGAGAGGGUAAUCGGCCACAUUGGAACUGAGAGACGGUCCAGACUCCUACGGGAGGCAGCAGUGGGGAAUAUUGCACAAUGGGCGAAAGCCUGAUGCAGCAACGCCGCGUGAGUGAUGAAUGUCUUCGGAUUGUAAAGCUCUGUCUUCUGGGACGAUAAUGACGGUACCAGAGGAGGAAGCCACGGCUAACUACGUGCCAACAGCCGCGGUAAUACGUAGGUGGCGAGCGUUGUCCGGAUUUACUGGGCGUAAAGGGUGCGUAGGCGGAUGUUUAAGUGAGAUGUG
rnacentral:rRNA from 1 species